rnacentral:rRNA from 1 species
GACGAACGCUGGCGGCGUGCUUAACACAUGCAAGUCGAACGGAAAGGCCUCUUUCGGGGGGUACUCGAGUGGCGAACGGGUGAGUAACACGUGAGUAACCUGCCCUUGACUUUGGGAUAACUUCAGGAAACUGGGGCUAAUACCGGAUAGGAGCUCCUGCUGCAUGGUGGGGGUUGGAAAGUUUCGGCGGUUGGGGAUGGACUCGCGGCUUAUCAGCUUGGUGGUGGGGUAGUGGCUUACCAAGGCUGUGACGGGUAGCCGGCCUGAGAGGGUGACCGGCGACAUUGGGACGGAGAUACGGCCCAGACUCCUACGGGAGGCAGCAGUGGGGAAUAUUGCACAAUGGGUGGAAGCCUGAUGCAGCAACGCCGUGUGCGGGAUGACGGCCUUCGGGUUGUAAACCGCUUUCGCUCAUGACGAAGCUUUGUGUGACGGUAGUGGGUAAAGAAGCACCGGCUAACUACGU